GGCCAACUAGCUCAGUCGGUAGAGCAUUGCAUUGCAUUAAACCUUCAGCUGAAAUACGUUAGCAUGCGAAGGUAUUGGGUUCGAUUCCCAAGUUGGCCA